AUCUUAUCAAGAGUGGCGGAGGGACUGGCCCGACGAAGCCCGACAACCAGCACAGAUUGUGUGUAUGGUGUUAAUUCCAGCAGAUUAAGUUCUGGCAGAUAAGAA
rnacentral:ncRNA from 2 species